GAUUUAUGGACUGUCCAGCCGCUCACGAGAUGCAGGAAAGCUGAUUUGAGUCUGGUGCUGUCUCUAUAUCAGGUGCUUCCGUGGUUACCAUAGUAACGGAGCUUGUUUGUUAAUGCAAUGUAGCGACUGAGCUUGCAAAUUAACAACAUUUUAUAUCUAUGACAUAUUUCACGUGACCAUUUAUAGGUACAUUGGGUAAACUUUCAUAAGUAAUAUAAAUGCCGCGACCAAAGUAUUUCACUCCGAACAAGGUGUCCUUUCAUAACACCAUGCCUUGGCGACCGGUGGGCGUCAUACCUGUGCAAGGUGUACGACCUGACACUAUUGGUGAAUUACUUUAAAGUCGAUGUACUUCUGAGACCUAUUAUUGGCUGUGCAGGAAAUGACAUCAGUCACUGGUUUGAAUUAAAGACAGCAUUUGGGGUGCUCUGUGCACGUGUCGUCUCCCUGCCUUAGUACUAACUGGACCAAUGACUUUGGGCAACCCUGGUGGAGGGAUACCCAAUAUGAGGUGGGGCUAUUUUGCCAAGACCAGACCUUGAAUGAGAUUCCCCAGCGGUAACUUCGCAACAGUUCCCACACCGCCAGCUCCACCUGGAAGCUGCGUCAACCCGGGACAUUAGUCGGACACUGGAGGAGAACGGUAUCCUCGACAAGGAUGAGGACUUCUACAGUGGACGCAUGGACCGCGACCUCGUUCUCCCAGUCCAUCGGUCUCUACUCAACAUCAAUCCCACUGAACUUUGACCUCAUAUGUAAGGAUGUCAGAAAAUGGUGAUGAGCAAUAUGAGCAAUCUAUUAAAAGGUUGACUUACAAAGUACAGGUCCUUUAUUUUUUUUAUAUUGUGAUAUUGUUAUGAACAUUUUAUUAGAGGGAAUUUGAGCCUGUAAAGGACUAGAACUCAUAACCUCAAAAUCAUCAUCCUUUCCUUGCCAUUCUAUCCGUGUCUUCCUUUUGUCAUUCCUUCAAACCUUCUUGCAUCUACAAUAGGCCAACAUAUGUUAAUAAAUUAACAAUAGUCUGCAAAACUGUACAUAAAACUUCAUGGUAACCAUGGUAAUCGUUUAUGUGAUAUUUAAUAGUAGGCUACUUCCUCUCAACAGCUCCUUUGUGGCUCUGCUAAGUUUUAAUUUCCUGUACUACAGAAUGUGCAGGAAACCAACUCUACUGUAACAGUAGCAGUUUUAGUCAGUUGUGAAAAGUCAUGUUACAAAUAUUUCUUUAAAUCAGUGACGUGUCAUUGUUAUCAAUGUCUAGUUUACUCAUCACAAUUCACAAUUAUACACACACACACAUUUUUUACUGUAAAAUGUGCAUACAGUGCCUUCAGAAAGUAUUCAUUCUGUACCCCUUGACUUAUUCCACAUUGUGUUGUGUUACAGCCUGAAUUACAUUUGUAUUAAAUUGAUGUGUUUUUCACCAAUCUACACACAAUAGACCAUAAUGAGGAAGUAAAAAUAUAUUUUUUAGAAAUGUGUAAAAAUGUAUUGAAAAUAAAAUAGAAAAAUAUCUCAUUUGCAUAUGUAUUCACACCCCUGAGUCAAUACAUGUUAGAAUCACCUUUUGGCAGCGAUGACAGCUGCGAGUCUGUUUGUCUAAGAAGAGCUUUGCACACCUGGAUUGUAUAAUAUUUGCACAUUAUUCUUUAAACCUUUCUUCAAGCUCUGUCAAGUUGUUUGUUGAUCAUUGCUAGACAGGCAUUUUCAAGUCUUGCAUUGAUUUUCAAGAAGAUCUAAUUCAAAACUGUAACUAGGCCACUCAGGAACAUUCAAUUUCGUUUUGCCACAUAUUUUGCAGUAUUACUCUUGUGCCUCGUUGCAAACAGGAUGCAUGUUAUGUCAUAUUUUUAAUUCGGUACAGGCUUCCUUCUUUUCACUGUGUCAAUUAGAUUAGUAUUGUGGAGUAACUACAAUGUUGUUGAUGAUCCUCAGUUUUCUCCUAUCACAGCCAUUAAACUCUGUAACUGUUUUAAAGUCA